AGUGAACGCUGGCGGUAGGCCUAACACAUGCAAGUCGAACGGCAGCACAGUAAGAGCUUGCUCUUACGGGUGGCGAGUGGCGGACGGGUGAGGAAUACAUCGGAAUCUACUUUUUCGUGGGGGAUAACGUAGGGAAACUUACGCUAAUACCGCAUACGACCUACGGGUGAAAGUAGGGGAUCUUCGGACCUUGCGCGAUUGAAUGAGCCGAUGUCGGAUUAGCUAGUUGGCGGGGUAAAGGCCCACCAAGGCGACGAUCCGUAGCUGGUCUGAGAGGAUGAUCAGCCACACUGGAACUGAGACACGGUCCAGACUCCUACGGGAGGCAGCAGUGGGGAAUAUUGGACAAUGGGCGCAAGCCUGAUCCAGCCAUACCGCGUGGGUAAAGAAGGCCUUCGGGUUGUAAAGCCCUUUUGUUGGGAAAGAAAAGCAGCAGGUUAAUACCCCGCUGUUCUGACGGUACCCAAAGAAUAAGCACCGGCUAACUUCGUG
rnacentral:rRNA from 1 species